UCGAGCGAACGGACGAGAAGCUUGCUUCUCUGAUGUUAGCGGCGGACGGGUGAGUAACACGUGGAUAACCUACCUAUAAGACUGGGAUAACUUCGGGAAACCGGAGCUAAUACCGGAUAAUAUUUUGAACCGCAUGGUUCAAAAGUGAAAGACGGUCUUGCUGUCACUUAUAGAUGGAUCCGCGCUGCAUUAGCUAGUUGGUAAGGUAACGGCCUUACCAAGGCAACGAUGCAUAGCCGACCUGAGAGGGUGAUCGGCCACACUGGAACUGAGACACGGUCCAGACUCCUACGGGAGGCAGCAGUAGGGAAUCUUCCGCAAUGGGCGAAAGCCUGACGGAGCAACGCCGCGUGAGUGAUGAAGGUCUUCGGAUCGUAAAACUCUGUUAUUAGGGAAGAACAUAUGUGUAAGUAACUGUGCACAUCUUGACGGUACCUAAUCAGAAAGCCACGGCUAACUACGUGCCAGCAGCCGCGGUAAUACGUAGGUGGCAAGCGUUAUCCGGAAUUAUUGGGCGUAAAGCGCGCGUAGGCGGUUUUUUAAGUCUGAUGUGAAAGCCCACGGCUCAACCGUGGAGGGUCAUUGGAAACUGGAAAACUUGAGUGCAGAAGAGGAAAGUGGAAUUCCAUGUGUAUCGGUGAAAUGCGCAGAGAUAUGGAGGAACACCAGUGGCGAAGGCGACUUUCUGGUCUGUAACUGACGCUGAUGUGCGAAAGCGUGGGGAUCAAACAGGAUUAG
rnacentral:rRNA from 1 species